GUAGGGUGGGCAAGCGUUGUCCGGAAUUAUUGGGCGUAAAGCGCGCGCAGGGCGGUCCUUUAAGUCUGAUGUGAAAGCCCACGGCUCAACCGUGGAGGGGUCAUUGGAAACUGGGGGGACUUGAGUACAGAAGAGGAAAGCGGAAUUCCAAGUGUAGCGGUGAAAUGCGUAGAGAUUUGGAGGAACACCAGUGGCGAAGGCGGCUUUCUGGUCUGUAACUGACGCUGAGGCGCGAAAGCGUGGGGAGCAAACAGGAUUAGAUACCCUGGUAGUCCACGCCGUAAACGAUGAGUGCUAAGUGUUAGGGGGUUUCCGCCCCUUAGUGCUGCAGCUAACGCAUUAAGCACUCCGCCUGGGGAGUACGGCCGCAAGGCUG
rnacentral:rRNA from 1 species